UGGAAUUGAAUGUUAGUUUGCAGCGUGCUCGUUGUCAACAUGAUAACAUUGUCGCCAAAGGUACUCCACUGACCAAAGCAGAAGUGAUAGAAACCCCCCGGCUUUGGCACCAGCGAGUGUGAAUCAUGAGGAUGGUGAAUCUGAAGAUGAUUUUGCCCAGCUAGCUCACAGGUGAAUGUUCUGCAUUCUUUUUUGGAUAUGGUGUUCAGGUGGUCAACAGAUAAUGGAGACAAUGGGUAAGCAGCGAAUGCUCAGACUGAACUAUCGCGAAUCAGCCCACUUCUCCCAUCUCCACCCUCAUCAAAGAGACCGGUUGCUGGAGAUUCAAGCUCGAUUGAUUAUCUCAGUGGCGAUGUAUAAAAAUACAAAGAAUUUCCCGCGACAAUGGGAUCGACACUGUCCUCAGUUCCUGAUUCUAACAGGACCUGUUCCAUGCCAUCUACUCCAUCUUUAUCCCCAUUUUUUUCUUCUAUUUUGGGCUUAGCCUACAAAAUAUCUGCUUGCUUUCUCUAGGAGAAAGGCCGUUGUCCUUUCACUGUCUAUACGACUCCAGUGAAGGUUCUCAGCUGACAAAUACUAUCCAGCUGAUAAUAUAUUUCAUACCUAGCUGUUUUUUGCUCCCUAAACAGGUGAAGAGAUUAUUCUGUUUAGCAUGCUUAGCGUUCAGUCUGAGAAGAAGUUUAAUUAAGUGCUGGAUUGCUUCCA